rnacentral:rRNA from 1 species
AGAAUCAACGCUGGCGGCGUGCCUCAGACAUGCAAGUCGAACGCGAAAGUCCCCUUCGGGGGACAAGUAGAGUGGCGCACGGGUGAGUAACACGUAGGUAAUCUACCUUCGGAUGGGGAAUAACAAUCGGAAACGAUUAGCUAAUACCGCAUAAUGCAGCGGCACCUAAUGGUGACAGUUGUUAAAGCGGGGGAUCGAAAGACCUCGCGUCUGAAGAGGAGCCUGCGGCGGAUUAGCUAGGUUGGUAAGGUAAUGGCUUACCAAGGCUACGAUCC